rnacentral:tRNA from 1 species
CAUGGGCGCGGGCGUUGGCUGCUCGGCCGUCACUCAUAAUGACGGUGUGCCCGGUUCGACACCGGGGCCCAUGAC